rnacentral:rRNA from 1 species
UACGAAGGGUGCAAGCGUUACUCGGAAUUACUGGGCGUAAAGCGUGCGUAGGUGAUUCGUUAAGUCCGAUGUGAAAGCCCUGGGCUCAACCUGGGAAUGGCAUUGGAUACUGGCGGGCUAGAGUGCGGUAGAGGGUAGUGGAAUUCCCGGUGUAGCAGUGAAAUGCGUAGAGAUCGGGAGGAACAUCCGUGGCGAAGGCGACUACCUGGACCAGCACUGACACUGAGGCACGAAAGCGUGGGGAGCAAACAGG